rnacentral:rRNA from 1 species
AGAGUUUGAUCCUGGCUCAGAUUGAACGCUGGCGGUAUGCUUAACACAUGCAAGUCGAGCGGUAGCAGGCCUUCUCCGGCUGACGAGUGGCGGACGGGUGAGUAACGCGUAGGAAUCUGCCUGAUAGAUGGGGACAACUCAGGGAAACUUGAGCUAAUACCGAAUACGCCCUACGGGGGAAAGCGGGGGAUCUUCGGACCUCGCGCUAUCAGAUGAGCCUGCGUUGGAUUAGCUAGUUGGUGAGGUAAUGGCUCACCAAGGCGACGAUCCAUAGCUGGUCUGAGAGGACGAUCAGCCACACUGGGACUGAGACACGGCCCAGACUCCUACGGGAGGCAGCAGUGGGGAAUAUUGGACAAUGGGCGAAAGCCUGAUCCAGCAAUGCCGCGUGUGUGAAGAAGGCCUGAGGGUUGUAAAGCACUUUCAGUAGGGAAGAAAGGUCAAGCGUUAAUAGCGCUAGGCUGUGACGUUACCUACAGAAGAAGCAUGGCUAACUCCGUGCCAGCAGCCGCGGUAAUACGGAGACCUCGAGCGUUACUCGGAUUCACUGGGCGUAAAGCGCGCGUAGGUGGUUGUGUAAGUGGAAUGUGAAAGCCCUGGGCUCAACCUGGGAACUGCAUACCAAACUGCGCAACUCGAGUACGAUAGAGGGGGGCGGAAUUCCAGGUGUAGCGGUGAAAUGCGUAGAGAUCUGAAGGAAUACCGGUGGCGAAGGCGGCCCCCUGGAUUGAUACUGACACUGAGGUGCGAAAGCGUGGGUAGCAAACAGGAUUAGAUACCCUGGUAGUCCACGCCGUAAACGAUGUCUACUAGCCGUUGGAACCUUAGAGGUUUUAGUGGCGCAGCUAACGCAAUAAGUAGACCGCCUGGGGAGUACGGCCGCAAGGCUAAAACUCAAAUGAAUUGACGGGGGCCCGCACAAGCGGUGGAGCAUGUGGUUUAAUUCGACGCAACGCGAAGAACCUUACCUACUCUUGACAUCCUCGGAACUUUCCAGAGAUGGAUUGGUGCCUUCGGGAAUUCUGUGACAGGUGCUGCAUGGCUGUCGUCAGCUCGUGUCGUGAGAUGCUGGGUUAAAUCCCGUAACGAGCGCAACCCUUAUCCUUAGUUGCCAGCACAUAAUGGUGGGAACUCUAGGGAGACUGCCGGUGAUAAACCGGAGGAAGGUGGGGACGACGUCAAGUCAUCAUGGCCCUUAUGGGUAGGGCUACACACGUGCUACAAUGGUCGGUACAGAGGGCUGCAAACUCGCGAGAGUAAGCUAAUCUCAGAAAGCCGAUCUUAGUCCGGAUUGGAGUCUGCAACUCGACUCCAUGAAGUUGGAAUCGCUAGUAAUCGCGGAUCAGAAUGCCGCGGUGAAUACGUUCCCGGGCCUUGUACACACCGCCCGUCACACCAUGGGAGUGGGUUGCAAAAGAAGUGGGUAGACUAACCUUCGGGAGGUCGCUCACCACUUUGUGAUUCAUGACUGGGGUGAAGUCGUAACAAGGUAACCGUA